rnacentral:rRNA from 1 species
UACGGGGGGAGCAAGCGUUGUUCGGAAUCACUGGGCGUAAAGGGAGUCUAGGCGGUUUGGUAAGUGGGAUGUGAAAUCCCCGGGCUCAACCCGGGAACUGCGUCCGAUACUGGAAGGCUUGAAUCCGGGAGAGGGAUGUGGAAUUCCAGGUGUAGCGGUGAAAUGCGUAGAUAUCGGAAGGAACAUCAGUGGCGAAAGCGGCUUCCUGGACCAGUACCGACGUUCAGGCACGAAAGCGUGGGGAGCAAACAGG